rnacentral:rRNA from 1 species
UGGUGGUCUGGUAGAGUAUACCAAAGCGAUCGGGCGAAUCCUGGCCAAGGAACUCGGCAAAUUACUCCCGUGCCUUCGGCAUAAGGGAGACCCCUGAUGGUGAUGUUUUUUACAAGCGGAGCUGUUGGGGGUGGCACAAGCUAGGGGGUAGCGACUGUUUACCAAAAACACAGGAGCGUGCGAAGGCGUAAGCCGCUGUAUACGCUCUGACGCCUGCCCGGUGCCGGAAGGUUAAGAGGAUCCGUUAGGCUUCGGCUGAAGCGGUGAAUUUAAGCCCCGGUAAACGGCGGUGGUAACUAUAACCAUCCUAAGGUAGCGAAAUUCCUUGUCGGGUAAGUUCCGACCUGCACGAAUGGCGUAACGACUUCCCCACUGUCUCGGCCAGGAGCCCGGCGAAAUUGCAGUACGAGUAAAGAUGCUCGUUAAGCGCAGAAGGACGAAAAGACCCCGGGACCUUUACUAUACCUUGGUAUUGUCGUUAGGUGUGGAUCGUGUAGCAUAGGCGGGAGGCUGUGAAGCGUGGGCGCUAGCUUGCGUGGAGUCGAUCAGUGAAAUACCGCUCUUUCCAUAUCUGGCGUCUAACCUCGACACGUUAUCCGUGUUAGGGACAGUGCCUGGCGGGUAGUUUAACUGGGGCGGUUGCCUCCUAAAGAGUAACGGAGGCGCUCAAUGGUCCGCUCAGCCCGGUUGGCAAUCGGGUGUUGAGUGUAAUCGCACAAGCGGGCUUGACUGUGAGACUGACGGGUCGAGCAGGGACGAAAGUCGGAGAUAGUGAUCCGGUGCCGGCGUACGGACGUGGCAUCGCUCAACGGAUAAAAGGUACCCCGGGGAUAACAGGCUGAUCAUCUCCCAAGAGUCCAUAUCGACGGGAUUGGUUUGGCACCUCGAUGUCGGCUCGUCGCAUCCUGGGGCUGGAGCAGGUCCCAAGGGUUCGGCUGUUCGCCGAUUAAAGCGGCACGCGAGCUGGGUUCAGAACGUCGUGAGACAGUUUGGUCUCUAUCCUCUGCGCUCGUUGGAAUGUUGAGGAGACCUGCCCAUAGUACGAGAGGACCUGGGUGGACGAACCUCUGGUAUGCCGGUCGUCACGCCAGUGGCGCUGCCGGUUAGCUACGUUUGGAAGGGAUAACCGCUGAAAGCAUCUAAGCGGGAAGCCUGCUCCAAGAUUAGCAUUCCUUGCACUUUGUGUGUGAGCCCCCAUGUAGAACACGUGGUUGAUAGGCUGGAUGUGGAAGCCCUGUAAGGGGUGGAGCUGACCAGUACUAAUGGGCGAUUGUGAUACUAC